AAGGAAUAGGUUCGUUAUUCUGCCAAUACGUCAGACACCUUCGUCGUCCCACUUCGUCGCGCGUUAUCGCGGCCGAAUGGGCCAAGCCCAACAAAUCCAUCGCACACACUACAAUACUACAUCGCCUCCCUCACGAGUCACGAACCAUGGAACCAGCGCCGCCGCUUCCUAGCUAGGGUUGGACGGAGGGCCGGCCACGGAGUUGGAGAUGCAGAGGACGAACGGGAGCACAGGGGGUGCGUCGCUCCACGAUGGUGGUCGUCUAACUCCGGUCCACUUCCCCGUCCGCGCGGCCGGAUCUCCACCCGCUAAACUUCCCCGACCAGAUUAAGCAGUUGUUCCUCCCCGAUCAGUUCGUCUACCUCGAGAUGCAACCUGUAUGCCGCUCCUGCAGUUCCUUGUAGAACUGAUCCUCCCUGGCCUACAGCCGUAGUCGUUCGUCUUCGUUCGGCCAUCAUUGAUGAAGAGAAGAAUUACAAGAGCGCGUUGCCUAAGUGCCACAUGACCACGAAGGCUGUUGAAAAAGGCAUGUGAGGAGAUCUACGAACUGAUGAAAUUUAACAUCCACAUGAAUAUCAAGGCCGGUCAAUUGGACAAACAUUUAAGAGUAUCUGUCAAGCUGCACGCAUGAUGCUGAAGGUCAAGAUUAGCAUUUUCCUGAAAUUUUCAUUAGAUGAUGGUAAUUUUUAUAGGUCUCGGGAUACCCGAUCAGUUGAAAUCUAAGAAUACGCGCAGGUACAGUCGUUUUGUUGUUCAUAGGGUAAAUAAUAAGACUGGAUACAUGUUUGUGAUAUUGCAUAAAUAGGCAUCAUUCUUCACACCAAGAGGAUGGAAAGAUUUUCUUUGACAACAUGGCAGCACCUGUUUACUAUCCAUGGCUAUACUCUGCAUCAUCAUCAAGUUUUGGGUACUUCGUGUUGCAACUUAUUUUACAAUCUUGAAUAUUGUUUUGUCAGAAAUAACUGAUGAAAGUACUAUAGUUUAAGGGAAAAUCAGUUACAUGUUGUGGGCGUGGCCAAGUUUUGUUGUUUGCAUGUUGUUAGUCACAGUUAAGACCCGCAGUUGCAAUAGAACGGGAAAAGUAUACAGAAAAGACAGUUCUUUUCAAUUUUCAUUAUCUAUAUAUUAGUAUUAGUUAGUAUAGUAUUAGUUAGUAGUAGUACUAUUCUCUUAGUUACCGAGGAGAAAGGGGGCUCAGCAGGAAGAGGAUCGUACCAUGAGAGAAGCACGAAGCUUAAAUGGUGAGUUACUUGGGUCUCUGAAACUGCAAAUACAUGGAGUAAACUACAGUCUUCAGUAAAUGAACAUAAUUUAGGAAAAUGUAUCUACACUGGCAAUUGGAUGUGCCAUAUUGGUAUCGUUCUUCUAACAGAUAAAUAUUUUUUGUUGUAAAUAAUUUGAGGCAUGAAAGACGUGCUAAUCAGCAUGAAAGUUGGAGGUUUCGGGCACUUUCUCACAAUUUUGUUGUUUUAACUAAGUCUUUGUAAGAACAGAAACUCAUUUACAAAAAUUAUUUUCAUAUCCAAUUGGAAGCACACAAAGACAUGAACUAAUUUAAGUAGUAGAGAUUUCUAAUUUUUAUAUAGAAGAAAAUUAUUUACCUAUGUUUUGUAAUUCCUAACUCCUAAGCAGGAGAUGUCUAUGGCACUUUUAGAAUCCAGCUCCCUUAAAUAUGAUCAUCAUUUCAUGUAUACUUCUCAUAUGGUAUGUCAGCGCUUACAUGCUAAGGAUUCAUCGAACUAUGACAAGCUGAUAGUGUAAAUUCACUAGGAAUGAUGGUUGAGAAUAAAUUUGAAAGGAUAAAUCACCUGAUGAAGUUCUACACUGCUUUCAACACAACAAAUGAAAUGUUUAUUUCACGCUAUUCGCUCACUACGAUCGACAUAUACUACUCAGUAUUUAGAUAAAGUGUGAGCUGAGAUUAAGAGAUUCAAAUGUGUCCGUUUAGAUUAUCUAGAGUUUGGAAAAAAUAGGCCAGUCUUGAAGCAUGGUCACCAAAUAAGAUUUUUUUUACUGACAUACUAAUAGCAUUAUGUUAACGACUUGUGACAUAUCAUUGCUUUCCAAGCAUGUAUCGCUAACAGUGUUCAGUAUCUGAUGUGAUGUAGUUCCUCUGGAGACCACACGGUCGGGUUCCCAAACUGAUGCUGACGCACGUGCGGAACCCCUCCGUGCCAGUUCCACCAUCACAAGUCCUGGGGCCGCUCCACUCUGACAAGCUAAACCUCAGAUCAUUGUACAUAAAUGAUGAGAUGAUCCAGAUUUACCCGAAGAAGUCAGCGACAAUGGCAGUGAGGGAUGUGUGAUUGCUCGGUGCUCCGAGGUGUCACGACAUUGGGGUGGUGCUGCGCGUGUUGGGCGUAUCCAAGGAGCAUGUGUGUGAUUUCAUCCUGGAAGUUGAAGGUUGAUCCAAGUCAAGAUGGAGCUCACGGUAGCUUCUAUUAGUUAGCUCAUUGAAAUUGAGCUUCUAAAAAGCUUGGUUGUGGAGCAAAAGGAUGUCUAGGCUCAAAUACAAUGUGCAAGAGGUUGCCCCUGUGCAAUCAUGGAAGAUCCGGGAGUCGGGUCAGAAGGAGUACAAGGAUCUCGAGGUUUAAAGGAAGCAUUAACCAAUUUAUUUAGGUAAUGACAUGAGUAAACAUGUUAGUUGACUGCACCUUGUUUUGCAGAUUUGAUUUGCUUAUUGUGCAUCUUAGUCUUGUGAGGAGAACUAGGUGUAGCCUUUCCCACUGCCAAAGUUUAAUUCAUGAAGGAAUCUGAAACUUUACAUUAGUUUUUGUGCAACUGGAGUGGCACAGAAGCUUGCAGGGGUACUACAUGAGCUCACAUUAGUUGUUUCCGUACCAAUGGACCUUACAGUGAAACUCCUGAGGGCGAAGCACGCACCAAGGCAAACGAUCAGGAGAGGUGGAGAUCAUCACAACUAGCUCAGUUCAGCAGGAAGAGUGAUUACAAUGAAACGACCAGGCCAGUGUGGUGUCACCUACGGCCCACAGGAAACAAUCUUAGAAAGUGACAAUAAGAAAUGGAUAAACUUAGAUGCAUAUCCUAAUAUGCCAAUUGGUAAAAAAUAGCAAUAUUAUGUUACUCCCUCCAAUCCAUAUUAAUUGACUUAAUAUAGAUGUAUCUAGAACUAAAAUGUGUCUAGAUACAUCCAUAUUAGAGUCAAUUAAUAUGAACCGGAGGGACUGAGCUUAAUUUGCCACGUUUGCCAUAGACCUAGCCAUCUGUUUUUACCGGCUGAUAGCCUGAUACACAUUUUCACCUUCAAAGCGUGGACAGGGACCAUUGUGUUUCUCAGUUGAGGCAGUUUUCCAUCUUCUCUGAUCAACCAAUUAUUGCAUCUUAUUCUCAUAGGUCUCUCAUUUAAUAUGGUUACCAAAGAUAAGCUUAUGGUCUUUGCUUAUAAGAAUAUAAGGUGCAACAAAUGUCAGCUUUCGGAGUGAAGUUCAGCUUUUCCACUUACCUUCCUUAGGGGCCGUAUACUUGGUGCCAACACGGCCCGUCGAGCCCCCCUAUGGUACUGAUUCUCUUCUUUUUUUCCUACAUUAGUUAACAACCUCUACUAUUAAAAUUGCAAAUGUUCAGAAAAAAAAGCAAGCCAGAAAAGCAUAUAAUUUUGAUUACUUGAUUAGACAUGCAUAUCUCUGUUAUGCUAUGUGCUGUGGGUUUAGAUUUUAGAACGAAUGACUAUCUAUUUGGUACACCUGCUAUCGCUCUCCUGUUGUUGAUGCUGGACGUGUCAGGUUAUCCAUAUGCCUCUCUGUAGCUAUAUUAUUGUGCUCUUUUUUGUUUUGAUUUUAAUCUAUGUCAUUCAUAUACCCUUCUAACAAAAAUUCUAACGGAUACUCUCAUGCUCAGGUUUCUACUGCCUACAGGUUUACCCGCCUGUUCAUGGACUGCCCUGUUAUCGUCCUCCUAUCGUAAUAUCUGAUCCAUGCCGUAUCAUCUCUGGGUGUGUUUUACUACCUAAAAUGCAUUCAGCUCAGUUUUUAGUGUAUUUUUUAAGCAAUCAUCUAAUAGCUAUCUUUUCCAAAUGCCUACUCUGUGCUGUGUAUUAUGCUACGUAUCUAGGAUAUACAGAUGUAUAAGAAGUUAUCUUUACUGCUUCAUGCUUUUACACCACUUUCCGCUGCUAUGGAAAGUAUAUGUGGUGCCACGCCUACACUACAACCAAACUGAAUGAAACUGUCCUUGACAGCUACAAUCUCCUUCUGAC